rnacentral:rRNA from 1 species
CCCAAGGAUGGGUCUGCGGCCUAUCAGGUAGUAGUGGGUGUAACGUACCUACUAGCCUACGACGGGUAAGGGUUGUGAGAGCAAGAGCCCUGAGAUGGAUUCUGAGACAUGAAUCCAGGCCCUACGGGGUGCAGCAGGCGCGAAAACUUUACACUGCGGGAAACCGCGAUAAGGGGACCCCGAGUGCCAGCACCUAGUGCUGGCUGUCCCGCUGUCUAAACAACAGUGGUUAGCAAGGGCCGGGCAAGACCGGUGCCAGCCGCCGCGGUAACACCGGCGGCCCGAGUGGUAGCCGUUAUUAUUGGGUUUAAAGGGUCCGUAGCCGGCCUAUUAAGUCUCUUGGGAAAUCUGGCGACUCAAUCGUCAGGCGUCCAAGAGAUACUGGUAGGCUUGGGACCGGGAGAGGUGGGAGGUACUCCAGGGGUAGGGGUGAAAUCUCGUAAUCCUUGGGGGACCACCGAUGGCGAUGGCAUCCCACCAGAACGGGUCCGACGGUGAGGGACGAAAGCUGGGGGCACGAACCGGAUUAGAUACCCGGGUAGUCCCAGCUGUAAACGAU